UGAUACAUGUAUAGGUGAUGGAGUAGAUCGAUCCAUAACAUAUUUAUUGUUUUUUUUAGGAAAUAAAGAUACGAUGGUGAUUUAAAAAUGUGAGAUGGCGAUCGAAAUAUAGAUAAGGUUUCUUGGCGGCAAUCCAAAACAAGAAAUCUAAACACCUUAUCAGGAGAACAAGCUUUCUUUGCGCUUACAAAAGAAUCAUACGCAAGCACGACGCAGGAAUCUACCAUGUUCUCCUUGUUUUAAAAAAAAGCUCUUCUAUGAGCAUAACACAUGAAGCAGGCUCUCAUUGAGCUUACAAAAGACUCAUAUGGCAGCAUAACGCAUAAAUUCACUGGCCUUUUCUUGCUCUUGUUGAGAUAUUAGAUAUAAUACAAGUUAAGUUGUGUGACCCAAGUCCAAAGCUAAUUAGGGUUUAGGGUUUGUUGUGUAGUUUGUUAUUUUACUUAGUAUUCAAGUCAUUUAGGUCUAUAUAAAUAGACACUUUGUAAUUCAGUAUUAUGAUUCAAUUAAAUUAAAUUCAAU
rnacentral:lncRNA from 1 species